GCCCUUUCGGGGGUACUCGAGUGGCGAACAGGUGAGUAACACGUGGGUGAUCUGCCCUGCACUUUGGGAUAAGCCUGGGAAACUGGGUCUAAUACCGGAUAGGACCAUGGGAUGCAUGUUCUGUGGUGGAAAGCUUUUGCGGUGUGGGAUGGGCCCGCGGCCUAUCAGCUUGUUGGUGGGGUGAUGGCCUACCAAGGCGACGACGGGUAGCCGGCCUGAGAGGGUGACCGGCCACACUGGGACUGAGAUACGGCCCAGACUCCUACGGGAGGCAGCAGUGGGGAAUAUUGCACAAUGGGCGCAAGCCUGAUGCAGCGACGCCGCGUGGGGGAUGACGGCCUUCGGGUUGUAAACCUCUUUCAGUAUCGGCGAAGCUCCGUGGUUUUCUGCGGGGUGACGGUAGGUACAGAAGAAGCACCGGCCAACUACGUGCCAGCAGCCGCGGUAAUACGUAGGGUGCGAGCGUUGUCCGGAAUUACUGGGCGUGAAGAGCUCGUAGGUGGUUUGUCACGUUGUUCGUGAAAACUCACAGCUUAACUGUGGGCGUGCGGGCGAUACGGGCAGACUGGAGUACUGUAGGGGAGACUGGAAUUCCUGGUGUAGCGGUGGAAUGCGCAGAUAUCAGGAGGAACACCGGUGGCGAAGGCGGGUCUCUGGGCAGUAACUGACGCUGAGGAGCGAAAGCGUGGGGAGCGAACAGGAUUAGAUACCCUGGUAGUCCACGCCGUAAACGGUGGGUACUAGGUGUGGGUUUCCUUCCUUUAGGGAUCCGUGCCGUAGCU
rnacentral:rRNA from 1 species